rnacentral:rRNA from 1 species
GUUGCCUACGGGGCGCAGCAGUGAGGAAUAUUGGUCAAUGGGCGGGAGCCUGAACCAGCCAAGUCGCGUGAGGGAAGACGGUCCUAUGGAUUGUAAACCUCUUUAGGCGGGGAGCAAUGCCGGGCACGCGUGCCCGGAGGGAGAGUACCCGCAGAAUAAGCAUCGGCUAACUCCGUGCCAGCAGCCGCGGUAAUACGGAGGAUGCGAGCGUUAUCCGGAUUUAUUGGGUUUAAAGGGUGCGUAGGCGGGAUGGCAAGUCAGAUGUGAAAUCCGGGGGCUCAACCCCUGAACUGCCUUUGAAACUU